rnacentral:rRNA from 1 species
UACGUAGGGGGCAAGCGUUGUCCGGAUUUAUUGGGCGUAAAGAGCGUGUAGGCGGCCAGGUAGGUCUGGUGUGAAAACUCGAGGUUUAACCUCGAGAUGUCAUCGGAAACCAUCUGGCUAGAGUCCGGAAGAGGAGAGUGGAAUUCCUGGUGUAGCGGUGAAAUGCGCAGAUAUCAGGAAGAACACCAAUGGCGAAGGCAGCUCUCUGGGACGGUACUGACGCUGAGACGCGAAAGCGUGGGGAGCGAACAGG